GCCGCUGAAGGUGUCGUACCGCCGCCCCUGGGUGGCGGCGAGUGCGCUGAGCGUGGCGGCGGCCGUUCCGGGUCGGUACGGCAGCA
rnacentral:tRNA from 1 species